rnacentral:tRNA from 1 species
GUGGGUAUGGCGAAAUAGGUAUACGUGCAUGCUUGAGGGGCAUGUGAGAAAAUUUUCUCGUGUGAGUUCAAAUCUCACUACCCACACCA